UGAAGGGGGGGAAAACCGUUUUUUUUAUUGGCCGUUAUUUUCUAAAAUAAAUAUUAAAGUUUGAUUCUAGCUUUAGAAUUAGUUUUAUAAAUUAAUUAUAUACAAUUUUAUUAAACAUCAAUAAGUAGUAAUUUAUAUUUUUAUAAUUUUUAUUUUUUUAAAGAAAUUUAUUAAAAAUAGAUUAAUUUUGUGCCAGCAUUCGCGGUUAUACAAUUUAUUUAUAUUAAUUUUAUUGGUAAAUAUUAAUAUUUAAAUUUAGGCUAUACUUUUAUUUAUACUUAGGUGGAAUUUGUAUAUUAAUUAAAUUCUAAUUUUUUUAAUUUUAAGCUUUUAUUUUAAACUAGGAUUAGAUACCCUAUUAUUUUAAGUCUAAUGUUUAAUAAUUCCUGAAUAUUAAUAGUUAAGUUCUAUAAAAAUCAAAGAAUUUGGCGGUAAUUUAUCUUUCUGGAGGAAUCUGUUCUUUAAUUGAUGAACCACAAUAGUUUAAACCUUAAUUUUAUUUGUAUACCGCUAUGAUUAAGGAAUGUUUUAAAAGAAAAUUUUCUUUUUUUUAAAGAAAAAAUAUUAGGUCAAGGUGCAGUUUUAUUUAGGUUAGCAUGGAUUACUUUAAUGUUAAUUUUUAAAGGAUAUUAAUUUAAUAAAUUAAUUGAAAUGGGAUUUAGUAGUAAUUUUAAUUAAUUAAUUAUUUUGAAUUUGAUUCUAAGUUAUGUACAUAUCGCCCGUCACUCUCAAUAACAUGAGAUAAGUCGUAACAAAGUAGAUGUACCGGAAGGUGUAUCUAGAAUGGA
rnacentral:ncRNA from 1 species